rnacentral:rRNA from 1 species
ACGCUCGACACCUACGGUAGGCAGCAGUUGGGAAUAUUGGACAAUGGAGGAAACUCUGAUCCAGUGACGCCGCGUGAAGGAAGAAGGUCUUCGGAUUGUAAACUUAUUUUGUCAGGGAAGAAAAAAUGACUGUACCUGAAGAAAAAGCACCGGCUAACUACGUGCCAGCAGCUGCGGUAAUCUGAGCGGGCUGGCAAGGC